CUUGUUUUAUUGUAGUAAACAUUGCAGAGAGGAGUCAGAUGGAAUCAUUGAAGUCUACCUGCCUCAGUGGAACAAUAAGUCUAGGUACUUGCACACAGCAGCCAGUCAGAAUUCUACAAACAGAAGGAGGCAGUAAUGGGAGCAGACAGGAAAAGAAACUCCAUUAUUGGUUAUAAAACCUUUUGAGGGUAGAACAGAGAAAAGGCAAAGAAGGGGGGCUGUGAUCUCAGAGGAUAGCAAUAGUGAUCCCUAGAUAUGAAUGGGUAGGCAGAACCGUGGGUGAAGAAGGGAGAGAGACAGAGAGAGGAAAAGGGAGAGAAAGGAAGAGAAAGAGAGAGAUGGAGACAGAGAAGAAGGAGGGGAAAGAGGAAGAUAGUCAAAAAGAGGGAAAGAGGAAGAGAAAGGAAGAGAGAGGGAGAGAAGAGAGGAAGAGAGACACAUAGAGAAGGAAAGGGAAAAGAAACGGAGA
rnacentral:lncRNA from 10 species